UCCUUGCCUUGCCAGAAGAUCCAUUCCUUCACUGGCAUUGGAGCAUUCUUCUUCAGGAUUCCAGCAUGUACAGAAGAUCAGCUGAGACACACAGCCUCGUGGGACUGAGCACCUACUGGAUUCUUGGACUUUACAUUCACAGCCUGCCAUUGUUGGGCUUUGUCCCGUUUUCCACAUUUGACCUCCUGAUAUCCACCAUCACUGGUGUGUACCAGCAUUUAUCUUCAUGAUGUAGAUGGCACAGGACCAAUGAGUACCUGCCAGAGUCCUGGGGUUCAUACUCAGCGAUCAGACCCUGAUGGUGGCAGCCCUAGCUCCUGUAUUACCCUGCCUCUUGGUGAGACAUCUGAGCCUCCGUAAAGUAAGUCCAAGAGGCGUUAACGGCAAGUAUUGUUACUAAGGCCACUGGCCCUCCUCAUCCUCCUCUUCCUCUCCUCCUCC